GAAAGAAAAGUCGCGCGUUAAUACCGUGCGGCCUUGACGGUACCUGCAGAAAAGCACCGGCUAACUACGUGCCAGCAGCCGCGGUAAUACGUAGGGUGCAAGCGUUAUCCGGAAUUAUUGGGCGUAAAGAGCUCGUAGGCGGUCUGUCGCGUCUGCUGUGAAAUUCCGAGGCUCAACCUCGGGCUUGCAGUGGGUACGGGCAGACUAGAGUGCGGUAGGGGAGAUUGGAAUUCCUGGUGUAGCGGUGGAAUGCGCAGAUAUCAGGAGGAACACCGAUG
rnacentral:rRNA from 1 species